AUUCUGUUAAUAUUUCUUAGUACAUAUAAAUUUAUUUAUAUAGUUUAAGAAAAACAUUACAUUUUCAUUGUAAAAUUAUACAAUUUUUAUUAUAA
rnacentral:tRNA from 1 species